GUGGGUGUAGCUCAGCAGGUAGAGCACCAGACUGUGGAUCUGGGUGUCGCGGGUUCAAGACCCGUCACCCACC
rnacentral:tRNA from 2 species